rnacentral:pre_miRNA from 1 species
CUGCUUGAGAGACAUACUUCUUUAUAUGCCCAUAUGAACCUGGGAAGCUAUGGAAUGUAAAGAAGUAUGUAUUUCAGGUGG